rnacentral:rRNA from 1 species
AAGUCUGACGGAGCAACGCCGCGUGAGUGAUGAAGGUUUUCGGAUCGUAAAACUCUGUUGUUAGGGAAGAACAAGUACCGUUCGAAUAGGGCGGUACCUUGACGGUACCUAACCAGAAAGCCACGGCUAACUACGUGCCAGCAGCCGCGGUAAUACGUAGGUGGCAAGCGUUGUCCGGAAUUAUUGGGCGUAAAGCGCGCGCAGGCGGUUUCUUAAGUCUGAUGUGAAAGCCCCCGGCUCAACCGGGGAGGGUCAUUGGAAACUGGGGAACUUGAGUGCAGAAGAGGAGAGUGGAAUUCCACGUGUAGCGGUGAAAUGCGUAGAGAUGUGGAGGAACACCAGUGGCGAAGGCGACUCUCUGGUCUGUAACUGACGCUGAGGCGCGAAAGCGUGGGGAGCGAACAGGAUUAGAUACCCUGGUAGUCCACGCCGUAAACGAU